ensembl:lncRNA
ACGCGUGCCCGCCAGAGGGGGUGGUUUGAAGUCUCUGGAGGCUCGGGUGGCCGUGAGGUUCCCCUGUGCUACUGUAUAGAGGCAGAACUAACACAAGCCCCUAGUAUCUGUGCGUGCUGUUGUAUCAGUGACCUCCAAAGAAGGAAAAAAAAGAAUUAAAGUGGCAAAGGAAUCAUACAGAGGAGUCUGAGGAGGGUACUGAAAGCACUCCCCAGAGGCCUUUGCUGACUGCGACAGUGACAUUGUGUGUAUUACAAGCAAAUAUAGUAGUUUGGCUGUAAUCUUAGCUCCUACUGCCCACACAGAUUCAUGAACUGUCUUGUCUUAACCUUGCAUGUUGGCAACUGGGAAGCUUGAAAGAAUAAAUGACAUAAAAAGAAACAAGAAUGCUGACAGAAGACGAAGCAAGAAACAAUAGCUUCACAUUCAGUUCAGGAAGAGUGAGUUGUUUUGUUUUUUUCCUGUUCAUCCUUCUGGUAUGUCAAAAAGGCCUCCUUCACAAAUACAUGGGACUAGACAGAGAGUCAGUGAGUAAAUCCAUCCGUUUUGUACUCUGCUGGCAACGUUGUUUGAAUCGCUGAAGGAGACGGUGUGCUCCUUCCUUGGCCCCAGUGCAGCAGAGCCUUGGAAGGAGUUCUUUUAAAGAGCCUCCAACAGCAUGAGCAAGCAGCUAACAUUUGCCUUUCCAAUCAUGUACGUUCCGAAAGUACAAGGAGAGGAUGAGACAGGACAGGAAGGAGAGGACCUGGAGGAAAGCCUAGAACAAACACCGGAGGAGCGUGUACAAUUGCUGGAGCAGAACAUGGCUGAGCAGAACAGAGAAGGAGGUUUGGUGGACAAUGGAGACUACAAGGUUUGAGUUCCUGUGGCUUGGAGUAUCAUGAACCACAACUAACUGGCUGAAGUAUGAAAAUUGCUGAAGGGCAUUUUCUAUCACACUUUGGGCAGCUGCACAUGAAAUUGAUGGAAAAUUACCUUUCCAAGGAAGAAGAUAAAUAUAUAAAAGCAUUAGAAGUGCACACGCAGUUACAGAAAUUUUGAAGGAAAUGAAGGAGA